rnacentral:rRNA from 1 species
UCCGUAGGCGGGCUAAUAAGUCAGGGGUGAAAUCCCACAGCUUAACUGUGGAACUGCCUUUGAUACUGUUAGUCUUGAGUUAUAUGGAAGUAGAUAGAAUGUGUAGUGUAGCGGUGAAAUGCAUAGAUAUUACACAGAAUACCGAUUGCGAAGGCAGUCUACUACGUAUAUACUGACGCUAAUGGACGAAAGCGUGGGGAGCGAACAGGAUUAGAUACCCUGGUAGUCC